GAUUCGCAAAGAUCAGCUUCAAGAAUGACAGGACUGGAGCCAUUAGCAAGCUCAUCCAGCAGUGAUCAUCCAUCAGAGACUGUCAGCCCAGGGGUGUGUUUGCUCAGCAAUGGAUGAAGCUGGCAGUGACUCCACCAGGCUGAGUAGUUGCAACACUCAGUGGGAGACCAUCUUCUCCUCAACCAGUGCUAGGUGAGAAGCAGUUCGACCUGGUUUGUAAUUUGGAAUAUCUCUCAUGUGGUCAUUGAGAUGAAGAGUUGAUGGACAGUCUCCAGGGAACUGCAACACCAAUUUGGAUUUGGUAUUUCCUACCGAGAGCACAGGCAGUGCCAACACCGCAGAAGAGAACGAGGAGUAAGGGCUCCAGCUGCUCCUCCACUGCUCGUCAGCUUCUGCAGGUCUCACCUCCGUGAGGCAGCCUGGUGGUACCGGUCAGUGUUCAAACUGGUCAAAAUGUGGUGAGAAACAGACAAUUUCAUUCCCCUCGCUCAAAGCUGGGAUAGCCUCCAGAUUAAAUUCCACCUCCUGGUAACUCCUACUGGAUGUAUCUUCUACCAAAGGCCUGUGGAAAGGACCUGAACCAGAGGAGGUUUGGCCCUUCGCAUCUGUGGUGCAGAAUCCAGCGGUGCAUUAUUCUGAUUAGAAGGUCUAAAACAGUGAAUAGAGCAUAUAAAACUGUCUACUGUGUUUCAUCAUACAUAAUUCGCUGCAGCAACCUACAGCCAUCCAAGCUGCUUCAGCCUCCCUCUCACAACCCACUGGUGCCCUGAGAGAUGCUGUCCCAGCAGAGGGGUCCCUGCGUCACCAGCACCUCAGCACUGACAGAGCGGUGUGAUGCCUUCAGAGCAUUCAGCAGGUCCCUCACCUUUUACUGGGCAUCUGAAACUGCCGUGGGGAGAGGCAGGAGGCACCCCGGGGCCUGGCUGUCCCCACAGAGAGUGCGUGACCACCUCUGGGGAAAGAACUUCGGGAGCGCCCAGGCUGCGCAGCAGGAAAACAAUGAGCAGGAGAAAACCUGGAAGCUUUUUGCUGCACUGUUGAAUAUGGAAAUAUAAAAACGUUUGUACCUGGAGCAUCUCUGUCCCUCUUUCCAAUGGGUGACUUCUGAAGCUGGAACUACCCCGCUACCUGCAGCAGCCACUUCUUUCACU
rnacentral:lncRNA from 1 species